UACGUAGGGUGCAAGCGUUGUCCGGAAUUAUUGGGCGUAAAGAGCUCGUAGGCGGUUUGUUGCGUCGGCUGUGAAAUCCCGAGGCUCAACCUCGGGUCUGCAGUCGAUACGAGCAAACUAGAGUGUUGCAGGGGAGACUGGAAUUCCUGGUGUGGCGGUGAAAUGCGCAGAUAUCAGGAGGAACACCGGUGGCGAAGGCGGGUCUCUGGGCAACAACUGACGCUGAGGAGCGAAAGCGUGGGGAGCGAACAGG
rnacentral:rRNA from 1 species